rnacentral:lncRNA from 1 species
AAAGGUGGCAAAGACCCCACAGCGAAGGGUGUAAACCAAGCGGGAGCUCAUGGUGGGCAGCCUCGGGGCAUCGAAAGGCAGGAAGGCGUAUGCUCCGUACAGCAGACAGGGGAAGAAGAUGAGGGCCGCCACCACCGAGGCGACAGCUCUCAGUGCCUCACGACCUCCACAGCUUCCACAGCCCCCGCAGGACCGGCCAGGGGGUCUCACCACGGCCUCAGCCCACUUGCGCUCUGGGGGCUCAGGGUGGCUGAGUCGAGCUGGCAGGAAAUUCCUGAGCUCGCCUGGUCCAGCGUCGCGAUGCAGGAUGCGCUCCUCCUGUGGCUUCCGCUCGAUGCACUGUAGAUCAAUGGGCACGAAGGCCCUAACUGUCUUCUCGGGGAGCAGGUUGGCAUCCUCUUUGAAUGGCUCCUCCGACUUAGUAGGUGCCUCUGACUCUAGGGGCUCUGGUUCAAUAUCUCGCCAGCCCGGGGGAUCCGGAAGUGGGGCGCUAGGAUGGGGGUCAGUUCCCCAGGGUAAAGUGGCAGCCUCACUUAUUGUGCUGUCUGGACCAUCCUCAGGCCCCUCUCUGACUAUAGGAGACCCUACUGAAGACCCCACUCUGAGCGACUCAGUUCCAGGGGACUCAGUCCCACCUUCUUCCUCUGACUGCAGGACUAAAGCCUGCGGUGGGCUCUUCUCUGGAGUCUCGGGUUCCUUCAUGUCCAGCAGGGCCAGUGUCUCCGGUUCUGUCAUUGUGAGGCUUCAGUUCCGAGGGCUACCACAGAACGAUGUCAUCCUAUAGGCAGUGGGAGAAGUUCUGUGAGAAUACCUAGUCUUCUGGCCCCAGGACAGUUUCUCAGACCUAGAACUCCCCAGAGAAGCUGGCCUCAUGGGACUCUAGGGAGAACACUGUGGGGAGGAAGGUGUUGAAACAGAGAGGCGGGCGGGCAGCAGAGGAGCGAAAUGGAGGAUCCCUUUCAAAAUAAAUGUCAUCCAGCAGGACAAGGGUCCCUCCAGGAACUCGACACCAGAUCUCGGUUCCUCAGUCUCCAUUCCAGGAGUCGGUCAUUUUCUGAACUCUCCCAUUGCCAGUCUCACCCGAUUCAGCUGGGCUGGGCUCCACUCAGACUCCCAGCUCUAGUGUGGCCGUUCCCAAGCCUUCCUCUUGUUUCCUCCCCUGCCACCCUCCAGCUCACAGCUUCUGGAUUGGGCUCCCUUCGUUCACCUCUUGGGCCCCUCCUACCCCUGCCCUUUGGAUCCAUGAUACCCUCUUACUUUCCAUCUGCAAAGAGGCGGAGGAUCUCCGGAAAGGAGCUGCCUAGCUCCUGGCUGGCUCUGCAAGUAUUUCCCAGUUUCCCUCCCUUGCCUGUGUCUCCAAACCUGUCUGACCAGAGCGGGUGGGGCCCAGAUUAAAGGCGCAGGCCCUGCCCUACAGAAUCUGCCUACUGGAAGGACUCUACAGGAGGACGUCAUCCUUUUUGAAAGUAAGGGUGCAGCUGGGCACAGAGGUGUGGACUUAAUGUAUUCUGGGAUCUGUAAGAGCUUCCAGCUCAGGGAAGCAUCAGGGUAUAAAAGUGGG